rnacentral:tRNA from 1 species
GGAAGGGUGACCGAGCGGCUUAAGGUGGCGGUCUUGAAAACCGUUGUGCGGCAACGCACCAGGGGUUCGAAUCCUCUCCCUUCCG